rnacentral:rRNA from 1 species
UACGAAGGGGGCUAGCGUUGCUCGGAAUCACUGGGCGUAAAGCGCACGUAGGCGGCUUUUUAAGUCAGGGGUGAAAUCCUGGAGCUUAACUCCAGAACUGCCUUUGAUACUGAGAAGCUAGAGUCCGGAAGAGGUGAGUGGAACUGCGAGUGUAGAGGUGAAAUUCGUAGAUAUUCGCAAGAACACCAGUGGCGAAGGCGGCUUCCUGGCCUGUUCUUGACGCUGAGGCGCGAAAGCUAGGGGAGCAAACGGG